rnacentral:rRNA from 1 species
CUUGGUGUUACUGCGAAGGGGGGACGGAGAAGGCUAUGUUGGCCGGGCGACGGUUGUCCCGGUUUAAGCGUGUAGGCUGGUUUUCCAGGCAAAUCCGGAAAAUCAAGGCUGAGGCGUGAUGACGAGGCACUACGGUGCUGAAGCAACAAAUGCCCUGCUUCCAGGAAAAGCCUCUAAGCAUCAGGUAACAUCAAAUCGUACCCCAAACCGACACAGGUGGUCAGGUAGAGAAUACCAAGGCGCUUGAGAGAACUCGGGUGAAGGAACUAGGCAAAAUGGUGCCGUAACUUCGGGAGAAGGCACGCUGAUAUGUAGGUGAAGUCCCUCGCGGAUGGAGCUGAAAUCAGUCGAAGAUACCAGCUGGCUGCAACUGUUUAUUAAAAACACAGCACUGUGCAAACACGAAAGUGGACGUAUACGGUGUGACGCCUGCCCGGUGCCGGAAGGUUAAUUGAUGGGGUCAGCGCAAGCGAAGCUCUUGAUCGAAGCCCCGGUAAACGGCGGCCGUAACUAUAACGGUCCUAAGGUAGCGAAAUUCCUUGUCGGGUAAGUUCCGACCUGCACGAAUGGCGUAAUGAUGGCCAGGCUGUCUCCACCCGAGACUCAGUGAAAUUGAACUCGCUGUGAAGAUGCAGUGUACCCGCGGCAAGACGGAAAGACCCCGUGAACCUUUACUAUAGCUUGACACUGAACAUUGAGCCUUGAUGUGUAGGAUAGGUGGGAGGCUUAGAAGUGUGGACGCCAGUCUGCAUGGAGCCGACCUUGAAAUACCACCCUUUAAUGUUUGAUGUUCUAACGUUGACCCGUGAUCCGGGUUGCGGACAGUGUCUGGUGGGUAGUUUGACUGGGGCGGUCUCCUCCUAAAGAGUAACGGAGGAGCACGAAGGUUGGCUAAUCCUGGUCGGACAUCAGGAGGUUAGUGCAAUGGCAUAAGCCAGCUUGACUGCGAGCGUGACGGCGCGAGCAGGUGCGAAAGCAGGUCAUAGUGAUCCGGUGGUUCUGAAUGGAAGGGCCAUCGCUCAACGGAUAAAAGGUACUCCGGGGAUAACAGGCUGAUACCGCCCAAGAGUUCAUAUCGACGGCGGUGUUUGGCACCUCGAUGUCGGCUCAUCACAUCCUGGGGCUGAAGUAGGUCCCAAGGGUAUGGCUGUUCGCCAUUUAAAGUGGUACGCGAGCUGGGUUUAGAACGUCGUGAGACAGUUCGGUCCCUA